AGACUCUGUUUGGAAAGGAGGCUGACAAGCUCGAGCAGGCCAACGACGAUGACAAGACCUACUACCUGAUUGAAAAGGAGCCUCUAGUCACCAAGUUCAUCUCUGUCCCAAGGACAGAGGUAGUCUCAACUGUGCCUCGUUUGUUGCUGGCAUCAUCGAAGCCAUCCUCAUCGGCUGCAACUUUGAACUGGCGGUGACGCAGCUGUCUGGUACCGUGCCCUGGUGAUGGCCAUCACAGUUUCCCCUUCUCGUCAGUCCAGCAAGAUGCGAAGGACUGCCAGCCCCUCACCGCAUCUGUGACAGACAGGAGGCUAGCCACCAACAGGCACCCAUGGCGACCUUAAAUUUGGGGUGAAGCACUACCGGUCCAAGACGAGAAUUACCAGCAUCGAAGUGAAGAACGCGUGUUGGAAGUCGGCAAUGAUUGCAGCAGAUGCCCUGAGCGUGCUCAAGGAAAAAAAAAAAAAAAAAACUGGACAGAACGGUCGAGGAAUUCAGAUAUGUGUACCAGACACAUCUUCCAUGUUCCUUACUGCGGCGUUCAGGAAUUCACGGACCACGCUCGCUUCAGUAAAAGUGUUGUGCCAGCAAGCAGACAUUAUCAUGAACGAUAACAUCGCCAAACCAUUCAUGUGGAACCGGACAAUGUUCGACAAGUUGACACCCGUGCGAUAUAGUAACAACGAUUGAAACGCCACUCCAGGCGGCAUGCGAAGUUUCCCGACAGACGCAACGAAUGGAUCUCCUACACUUUCGCUGACGUGAACGCGCAAGUAUAACAUAGCGUGACCUCUGGAAAUGUUUCUUUGAGUCCGGAUUCACACGGCCGUCAAAGGCCCCGUCAAUGCACUGGCUUCCGUCUUGAAUAGUGUUUUCUUGCCAAUAUAUCCUCAAAAAAUAGCACACCGGUGACCUUGGUUGAUGCCGGUCGCCGGUGUCCUAUUUUUUAGUGAAAACCAGCGAGAAAACACUGUUUCGUGACGGGACGGGGGGCGUUUUUCCGCAAUAAAC